rnacentral:pre_miRNA from 8 species
ACUUGAUGGUACUGCUGAUGCUGGUGGUGAUGCCGAUGGUGCGAGCUGGACGGUGGGUGCUACGGCAUCAUUGUCGUCGUCAUCGUCAUCAUCCAAG